rnacentral:rRNA from 1 species
CCUACGGGAGGCAGCAGUGGGGAAUAUUGCACAAUGGGGGAAACCCUGAUGCAGCGACGCCGCGUGAGUGAAGAAGUAUUUCGGUACGUAAAGCUCUAUCAGCAGGGAAGAAAAUGACGGUACCUGACUAAGAAUCCCCGGCUAACUACGUGCCAGCAGCCGCGGUAAUACGUAGGGGGCAAGCGUUAUCCGGAUUUACUGGGUGUAAAGGGAGCGUAGACGGCAGCGCAAGUCUGGAGUGAAAUCCCAUGGCUUAACCAUGGAACUGCUUUGGAAACUGUGCAGCUAGAGUGCAGGAGAGGUAAGCGGAAUUCAUAGUGUAGCGGUGAAAUGCGUAGAUAUUAGGAGGAACACCAGUGGCGAAGGCGGCUUACUGGACUGUAACUGACGUUGAGGCUCGAAAGCGUGGGGAGCAAACAGGAUUAGAUACCCGUGUAGUC